CGAGUCCAAGGCUGUAAACUCAGCUCGCCUGAGAGCCUUCCUCCAAAAUAACCAUGCUUCGGGCGUAGUUGCAGAGGCAGCCGCACAGUAUCCCCCUCAGAGCGUCCCGGUUCAUCUGCCAAACUCCAUGCGGGUCUUUAGAAAGCGGCUGACUGGAGGUUGUGAAGCCCUGAAAGGGGAGAAGGGAGUAAAAAAGCUUCCAGGCACCAAGAAAAGGAAAGUGACUGCUAACGACUUAUUGUUGAUUGGGCGAAGUUCAAUUAGAGAAACACUACACCAGUUGGUGACCCGCUGCUGCGUCUUAAAGGGCCGGAGCAGAAUAACUAAUUGGACGUGGGGAAUAGGAGGAGUCUGGUGUACUGCCUUGAAAUGUUUAUGCAUCUGUUUCCCUCUGCUGCUGUAGAAAGUCAGAGCCGAUGGUGGAAUCAAAGCAGGUGGAAUCCAGUGGAACGCAAUAUGCGCUGCCGUGAAAUAAGCGAGUAAUAAAGGUGACGCCGGGCUGCGGGUUUCAGUCUGAUAAGGGAGACAACAUUUUCUGCACCGAUGUCUAACACGUUCAGAAAGGAAGAGAAUGAGAAGAAGAGAAGAUUUUGGACGCAUUGGAAAAAAUCGGCAGGUUCGUUUUAAUAAAGAUUUUCUGCAAAAGAUGCGAGGAAGGGCUUUAUGCAGACAAGAAAUUAAAGGCUGCAGCGUGGAGCCUGCUGCUCAUGGAGCCACUGCGGAGAGUCUUGUGCCAACAGCAGCAUAUGGUGACAUUGGUUUAGGGACGGAGUUGUAAAACAGCAGGAAAUUCUAUUAUCAGCCGUGGAGGUCCACCCUCUGAGGCUGCUUUGAAUCCAUAUUUCUCCAUAACGAGCAGGAGCUCGCAGGGAUAAAUCCAGUUAGAGGGAAUUUGGAGAGAAACGCGCAUCGUUUUGGAGAAAGUUCCGGGAGAAUCAAAUGAUGUUAAUAUCAGAGUGAAGGUAAUUUUAUUGGACAUUUUUUUGACUUGAAUUUGAAAUCAGGAUAAACUCGAAGGUAUAUGCCAGGAUAUAUCUUUCAUGCUUGAAUAAAUAAAAUCCCCGAUUGAGAUGAACAGAUUUA